rnacentral:rRNA from 1 species
GUCUAAGGUCAUGCCACCCUGAACAAGCCAGAUUCCGAUGGAUCUCGGAAGCUAAGCAGGGUCAGGCCUGGUUAGUACUUGGAUAGGAGACCACCUGGGAAGACCAGGUGAUGUAGGCA